UACGGAGGAUGCGAGCGUUAUCCGGAUUUAUUGGGUUUAAAGGGUGCGUAGGCGGAUCGUUAAGUCAGUGGUCAAAUUGAGGGGCUCAACCCCUUCCCGCCAUUGAAACUGGCGAUCUUGAGUGGAAGAGAAGUAUGCGGAAUGCGUGGUGUAGCGGUGGAAUGCAUAGAUAUCACGCAGAACCCCGAUUGCGAAGGCAGCAUGCCGGCUUCCUACUGACGCUGAAGCGCGAAAGCGUGGGGAUCGAACAGG
rnacentral:rRNA from 1 species